GUCGUAACAAGGUAGCCGUAUCGGAAGGUGCGGCUGGAUCACCUCCUUUCUAAGGAAUAUUACGGAAACUACACAGUUCGUUCUUACUUUGCUCAGUUUUGAGAGGUUUACUCUCAAUUAAAUAAGAUUAGGGGCCUUAGCUCAGCUGGGAGAGCGCCUGCCUUGCACGCAGGAGGUCAGCGGUUCGAUCCCGCUAGGCUCCAUAGACAACAAAAGUUGUCUGUUGUUCAUUGAAAACUGGAUAUUGAAGUAAAAUUUUUACAACAAACCGAGAACACCGCGUUGAAAGAGUUUUUAACAAUUAAGUUCAAAACGCUAAACAAUGAGGAUUGGUGGAACUAACUAUCGCUAGUUAGCGGAAGCCAAAAGCCUAACACUUUGUGUUAGCAAUGAGGUUAAGUGAAGAAGGGCACACGGUGGAUGCCUUGGCACUAGAAGCCGACGAAGGACGGGACUAACGCCGAUAUGCUUUGGGGAGCUGUACGUAAGCUAUGAUCCAGAGAUUUCCGAACGGGGAAACCC
rnacentral:misc_RNA from 1 species